UAAGGAAUAUUGGUCAAUGGACGCAAGUCUGAACCAGCCAUGCCGCGUGGAGGAUGAAGGUCCUCUGGAUUGUAAACUUCUUUUAUCUGGGACGAAACACUUCUUUUCUAAGAGGCCUGACGGUACCAGAUGAAUAAGCACCGGCUAACUCCGUGCCAGCAGCCGCGGUAAUACGGAGGGUGCAAGCGUUAUCCGGAUUCACUGGGUUUAAAGGGUGCGUAGGUGGGUAUGUAAGUCAGAGGUGAAAUCCCCGAGCUUAACUUGGGAACUGCCUUUGAUACUAUAUAUCUUGAAUGCCGUAGAGGUAAGCGGAAUAUGUCAUGUAGUGGUGAAAUGCUUAGAUAUGACAUGGAACACCAAUUGCGAAGGCAGCUUACUAUGCGGUUGUUGACACUGAGGCACGAAAGCGUGGGUAGCAAACA
rnacentral:rRNA from 1 species